UGCUGCUGUUGAAGGGGUGGAACGCCAGUGGGGAAGUGAUUUUUCUGCUCCAUAUGCUUUUAUAGAGACGUUGAGGGAGCGGAUGUUUAAACCUUCCUUAUCGACCAUCCUUUCUGAAAAUACAAAAGCUGCAAUUGUCUCGGCAUCAGAUCCUAUAUAUGUUGCUGCCAAAAAAAUGCGGGAGUUGCGAGUUAAUUCUGUUGUCAUGACAAUGGGAACCAAGAUUCAGGGGAUCCUCACUUCAAAGGAUAUUCUCAUGCGUGUAGUGGCACAUAAUCUCUCUCCUGAGUUGACUCUGGUGGAAAAGGUCAUGACCCCAAAUCCUGAGUGUGCAACCGUAGAGACGACAAUCCUUGAUGCAUUGCACAUAAUGCACGAUGGGAAGUUUUUGCAUCUUCCGGUUUUAGAUAGAGAGGGGUUCGUUGUUGCUUGUGUAGAUGUUCUACAGAUCACACACGCUGCAAUAUCCAUGGUUGAGAGUGGUUCUGGUUCUGUUAAUGAUGUGGCAAGCACAAUGAUGCAAAAAUUUUGGGAUUCAGCCCUUGCUUUAGAACCACCUGAUGAUCUUG
rnacentral:misc_RNA from 1 species